UCAUUGCAGAGAGAACAAGGUUCGAAAUUGAAUUCGUUCCUCGUCUGAAGUUCCAAUAUGACAACUCCUUUGGUUAUGGGAGCAGCAGUUGGAAGUGUUGCACUGGGAGAAAAGUAUACCUAAUAAGAGCAUGGCAAGCAUUGAAAGUAGCCCCUCGAGUUCGGAGGUUUUAUCCUGAUGGAUUUGAACCCGAUAUAUUCUGAUUAUGCUUCAGUGUGGUAGUAUUACAAAAGCAAUCUCAAACACAGGAGGGAGGGGAUUUUUUACUGUUGCAACAAUUCAGAGUAUGUAUCUAGUCUAGGUAAAAUUUAAGCAUUUUUACUGUUGCAACAUUGAUUCUUUAAGAGGCAAAUAGCUAUUUGUAAGCUACAUCACAAUCUGUCUAGGAAAAUGCUAUAUAUAAUGGAUUUGCUAUCUUUU